rnacentral:rRNA from 1 species
CCUACGGGGGGCAGCAGUGAGGAAUAUUGGUCAAUGGUCGGGAGACUGAACCAGCCAAGCCGCGUGAGGGAGGAAGGUACAGAGUAUCGUAAACCUCUUUUGUCAGGGAACAAAGGCGGGGACGUGUCCCCGGAUGAGUGUACCUGAAGAAAAAGCAUCGGCUAACUCCGUGCCAGCAGCCGCGGUAAUACGGAGGAUGCGAGCGUUAUCCGGAUUUAUGGGGUUAAAAGGGUGCGCAGGCGGUCUGUUAAGUCAGCGGUCAAAGCCCGGGGCUCAACCCCGGUCCGCCGUUGAAACUGGCAGUCUCGAGUUGGAGAGAAGUAUGCGGAAUGCGCGGUGUAGCGGUGAAAUGCAUAGAUAUCGCGCAGAACUCCGAUUGCGAAGGCAGCAUGCCGGCUCCACACUGACGCUGAGGCACGAAAGCGUGGGUAUCGAACAGGAUUAGAUACCCGGGUAGUC